rnacentral:lncRNA from 1 species
CAGCGCCUGGACCUCAGGCCAGUUCCCAUAGCAGCUUCCCAAAGCAGGCGGCUCCCUGGGCUGGAGGAGGCGCGAUGCCCAGAAAGAACCCAGGUGCAGGUGGGAGAGGGAACCCAGCCUAGCAGCGGGAAGUGGGGUGAGGACCACACUCGUCCGAGUUGGACAAGGGCGAGGUGCACUUCGCGGCGUCAUGCCCUCCUCACUGCCCAGCCUGGACCUGCCCCUCCUGUCCCCCUCCCGACUCACUUCCCAUGGCAAGGAGGUGCCUGCGAUCAGUAGCCAGCAUCGCUGUGGAAGCGGCGAGGUCCACACUGCCCUGCCCAACCCUCCUGGGCUGCCCUCCUCCUCGCAUGUCGCCUGCUGGGAUUCCAGUCCAGCUGCCUUGCCACCAACGGGCUGAGAACCGUUAAGAGCUACCGUUUCCAGCGUGCCUGGCCAGGCGCGCGCCGCUUCGCUCCUCCCCCCGAGAACUUCACCAGGCUCCCGAGCCUGGGGCAUGCUAGGAUUGUAGUCCCGAAGCUCUUGAAAGGGCGGGAGCGGUGAAGAGACUACAUACAGCUCCCAGCAUGCACAGCAAGGCCGGCACAACCGGACUUCGCCUUCAGGACUGCGCGCCGCCUCCUGUUCAUGCUGGCUGGGAUUGUAAUCCAUUCGCCCAGUGAUGAAAAAACUGGAAGCUAAUCAAAGACGACAACUCCCAGUAUGCCAGGCUUAGCUCCCGCCCACCAAUCCACACCUCCCUGUGUCCAGAGCAGUUCUGCCAUGCCAAGGAGAGCCUGGUUGUUCCCAAACCUCUCCUGCCUGCCAGGCGACAGCGGGACCAGGGUGGCUGAUCGUAUCUUGUAAUUAUGUCACUACCUCCCCCUAAGAUGCUGGCUUCAUGCUUCGUCAGUGCCAGAAGUUUGAUUCCUCACGGAGCAGCAGGAGACAGGGAGCUGCUCACAAACCUGUCAAGGUUCCCAUAGUAACGCUCCUCCUCCUGGAGCUGGACUCGCCCCGCCUCUUCCCUCGGCUCUGCCCCUUCUCCUCGCCCCGCCCCUUCCCUCGGCACCGUCUCUGCAUCGGAACGGUACCUCCUCCUCGCCCCACCCCUGACACGCCCCUUCGGACAUGCGCAGUGUAGCCCCUGCGUAGGAAUGUGGUUAACGGCCAGAUGUCUGACAGUUCUCCGACUUCUGGGCAUUCCACGUAGGACGCUUUCUCAUGAGUGUCUGAAACCGUCAGUUCACUGCCAGAAAUGGAGAUACAUGUUUCCUGAUAAACUGGCACUUGCCUUUUCAAAGCCACCAUUUCCUCUAUCCUCUGGGCUGUCACAAAUCCUCCUCUGCACCUCAGGAGUGCCCCUUGGAGCCACGUUCACCACUUCUCUGCCCCUGACCCAGGCUGGUUCCCAGGCCUUGGGGUCCUAGCGUGGACCUCCUGGAAGUAAUUAAUGCAGUUUUCCAGAUUAACUCGAAGUACCCCACGACUAAACGCUAAUGAAACUAGAGGAGGCACAGCUUCAGCUCCGUGCAGGAUGGAUGCACAAGAGCAGAAUCUCCAUGGGACGCCUUUCUGGAGCAUCAGUAUUACUGCAGGAUUUGGAAGAAACAAAUUCAAAUAAUUUCCAAAGUCAAAGCAACCUAUAUGUCAUCAUACAAACUACAGGCUACGAUGAGCACCUCAUUUUCUUUCUGGAAGGCUGACCUUAAAUGUCCUGCACAUUCCUAUAGUGCAUAUUUACCCUUUUCCUAUACUAAGUAAGCCCUAAAUCUUGGCAGUAACAGCCUGGGGAACUACCUGUCUUGCUACCACUCAAGACCAUGCUUCUGUCCACAAAUUCCCCCCAAUAAAUUACCCUUUACUGACAAACUGGAUUUGUCUGUCUCAUUCUUUGGUUUCCUGCCUCCUUCUGUGUUGCGGAUCCCUUUGCAGAUACAGCCGUUUCAUAAAAC